AUUGAGUUUGAUCCUGGCUCAGGACGAACGCUGGCGGCGUGCUUAACACAUGCAAGUCGAGCGGUAAGGCCUUUCGGGGUACACGAGCGGCGAACGUGUGAGUAACACGUGGGUGAUCUGCCCUGCACUUCGGGAUAAGCCUGGGAAACUGGGUCUAACACCGGAUAUGACCUCCUAUCGCAUGGUGGGUGGUGGAAAGAUUUAUCGGUGCAGGAUGGGCCCGCGGCCUAUCAGCUUGUUGGUGGGGUAAUGGCCUACCAAGGCGACGACGGGUAGCCGACCUGAGAGGGUGACCGGCCACACUGGGACUGAGACACGGCCCAGACUCCUACGGGAGGCAGCAGUGGGGAAUAUUGCACAAUGGGCGAAAGCCUGAUGCAGCGACGCCGCGUGAGGGAUGACGGCCUUCGGGUUGUAAACCUCUUUCAGCAGGGACGAAGCGCAAGUGACGGUACCUGCAGAAGAAGCACCGGCUAACUACGUGCCAGCAGCCGCGGUAAUAA
rnacentral:rRNA from 1 species